AAUUAGGUAGGUUAAACACCAAACCGUUGGGCCCAUGCCCCAAUAAUGUAGGUGAGAUCCCUAUCCUAAUUA
rnacentral:tRNA from 1 species